CCAACAGCUUUAGGUUUUUUCUCUUCUCAAAUCACAGUAUGCGACAGAUCCUUUAACUUGGAUAUAGGCCGUGCCCAGCCGACCAGUCAUACUCUUCAUAUAUAACCUCUGUUGUUCCAUGUCUCCCCCGCAAUCAACAAGACUGUUCAUUGCAGCUCAUGGUCACCUUAAUUACGCCAGAGUUUUUGGCUUGGAAGGCAAUGGGAAAGGAGAGAUUGCUUUCAGCCGGUCUGCCAGCAGCAGCUGUUGGGAUCCAAGGCCUAAGCGUCAAGCCAGCUCUCGUUCCCUCGUCGAACAGCGGCCGGUUUUUUCCACGGUGGGCGCAAAAAGUCCAGCCAUCUCUCGUUCUUCCCUCCUCCAACAGCGGCCGAUUCUUUCCCUGUCGUCUCACAAAAAGAACUGUUGCCUAAUGAUGCUGCGGUGACAGCCGAGUGAAACCUUCCCGCUGGGCAGUUCCCAAAAUACAUAGCAGAGAGAUUUUACAGUAUCCAAAUACUCUAAUAGACAAAAUGGAGUUUUAGGGAAAGGCAUUCUUGACAUUUCACGUUUUUUACCUUAGUAAUAAAAAUUAAAAACUGCAGAGUCUUCAUCUAUCUCCCCGUUCCCGAUUCCAGGCAGCCACCGCCAACCCAGCGAGCCACCGUCGCCGGCCCACGCGCCGCGCCGCCGCCGUCCCAGCAAGCUGCUUCCGCCCUCCAAGCGCCGCGCUGCCGUCGCUGCCUCCGCCCAGCCCACGCCGCCGUCCGCCCCAAACCCUGCCAGCACCGCGCGCCAGCCGCCGCCGCCGUCGCCCUUCCAGCGUCGAGCUGCCGCCGUACGUCCUCCCGCGUCGCGCCGCCGGCGGUAUCACAGCCCGCGGCCGCCGGGUCCUCUGAGUACUCCAGCGACGGGAAUAAAGAAAAACAAACUGUUGACCUGAUUUUCUAUUACUCCAUCUGUUUUGAGGUGAUACUCCACACAUCUAAAUUGGAGUAUCAGGGAGUAUCAACAAAUCUGAACCAUUUGAUAUUUAGAUCAAAAAACGUCCAAAUUAAUUUCGAGACUCACUUCAAGGGCGGAAGCAGAAGCUGCUGUCGUGGCCCUCGCACAACAGGCUCUUAAAUGUCGAUCCAACUCUGCUGACAAACCUUGAACAUCUGUUCUUGAAUUUUAUAUUUCAAAAACAAUCUAUUUGGUUCCAGACACUAGGGAAAGUAAUCUGCUAUUUGGUUAUGAAGUAAAGAUACCCGCAAAAAAGAGUUUAUGAAGUAAAGAUGUUUUGGAUAGUACUCCAAUGUUUCUGUACUGAGAUAUUGAUCACUGCAAGAAAAUACAUCCUGAUGGUUCUAAAGCAUGGAACACUGUACUUCUUAGAGUUACUAGUCAGUUUCUGCACUUUGUGAGUGCCUACAAGUCUACACCUCUUUUUCUUUGUCAAACCAAUGCACAGCGGAUCGAAGGUUCUGGAGUAGUUUUACUGCAGUUUAUCUCACGGAACAAAUUCAGCUCAA